UUGGACGUGGUGCAUGGUGUACGCCUGCUCUCCCUGAGGUCGCAAGUUCUAAAGGGGUUACGUGGGAAGCCUGGGUUCGACUCCCAGCGUCCGAA